UACGGGGGGAGCAAGCGUUGUUCGGAUUUACUGGGCGUAAAGGGCGCGUAGGCGGUCAGCACAAGUCAGUUGGUGAAACUCUCCGGGCUUAACUCGGAAAGGUCAACUGAUACUGUGCGACUAGAGUGCGGAAGGGGCAACUGGGAAUUCUUGGUGUAGCGGUGAAAUGCGUAGAUAAUCAGGAGGAACACCGGUGGCGAAGGCGGGUCUCUGGGCCGAUACUGACGCUGAGGAGCGAAAGCGUGGGGAGCAAACAGG
rnacentral:rRNA from 1 species